UCCAAGGUUCUUUCCCAUGCUGGCGGUCAGAGUGAUAAGGCCUCUCCCGCUAAAAUGUUUCUAUAAUACUCUCAGUGGUCAGUUGAUUCCCUGUAUCCAAAUCUUAUCCCAAUAAGUCACUUUAGUUCCCCCUGAUUCCUGAGCAAAGCCAUUAACUAAACAACGAAGAAAACAGAAUUUGUAUGAAUGCCAACUGAUUCAAAUACUAAUUGGUAAUAUCUGUGUGCAGUAGUUUCCUUCAAUAUAUGUUAUAUUAUACUUAACUGCUCUCCUGUCCAGGAUAUUGGUAUUAUGCAUUUGUACAACAUUUGUUACACUUUGUUUAAUUAUCUUUUAUAGAUUACCGAUAGAGCAUUUAAAAGAAAUGAAUGAAAAGUGUGUGCAGAGUGCUGCUCUAUAACUGAAUGGGUCACUUGGAAUUCAUUUUGUCUACAUCCUGGACUGCACGUAGGGAGACAAAAAAAAACCGCCUGGGAUUGGAGAGGAGGAAUGUGGCAGGGCAUGGGAAUCGCAGUGUCCUGGUGGUCACCGAGCAUAUUUUGGCUUGUCUUAAAACAAGCAAGCACCGUUGGACCUUUGGAAUCCUAACAAGUGAAGAAAUAUUAUUUCCUUCCUGACUCGCUGAAAAUUCAAGUAGAGAAGACCGUGAAGAAUCUGGGCAAUAUUUCUCAUAUUUAGUUCUGUAAGAUUUUAUUUAGUUGUGCUCUGACCCUGGGUACUCUUGAGAGCUAAGAGAUAUAGAAAAUGUCUUUUGGAGUUUGAGAACCGGGGUUCAAAAUCCUAAUCCUGUCUCCUUUUAUCCAUAGGAUUUGGGCAAGUUACUUAAGGUCUAUCACCAUUUUCUUAUCUGUAAAAUGGACUUAAUAAUAGUAUCUACCUGAAAGCAUUAUUGGAAGGAGUAAAUGAAUACUUCAUCUGUAGAACAGUGUCCGUCACAAGAUAAGAAAUUUCAUUCUUAUUAUAGCCCCAUCAGUUGAUAUGUAUUACAGCAUCUAGGACUCUGAUAUGUAAAUUUUACUUAGACACUUUUAUUCCUUUGUAUGUUUUUAAGAGUAAUGCCUUGAGACACUUUUCAUCUCUGUGUUCUUAAUGUAACAUCACAGUGUUUCACUCAAAGUUACUCCAUAAACAUUUGUUAAAUGGAUGGCUGGCUGGCUGGCUGGAUGGAUGGACGGACAGAUGGAAGUAGAAAUAUACAGCAUCAGGGUUGGUCCUAAGCAAUCAUUUUCAAAUCAGGACGUGUAUAUCUGGGGGUAUCUCCUUUCUGUCAUCCCCUUCAACUGUUUAGAUAUUGUUGCCUUUCUAAGUUUGGACAUGCUCCAAGCCUUGUUUUUCCUCCUCUUUCUUAUCACAUUUUUCUUCUCUUCAGUUCUUCUAAGUGACUAUCUAGUUUGAUCAGUAAGUAAAAGGGGCUUUAUGUGUCAUGUCUUCAAGAUAGCUUGUAUAUUUUAUCAGAUAAUUUUUUUCUCACUGCUUCAUUCCACAGAAGUGACUAAUAUGGGGAUUUCAAGAGAGCUAUUACAAAAAAAUUUUUUUUUUUUGUAGGAGGCUUUUGGACUUAAAAAAAAAAAAAAAAAACCUAUAAAACAUCUGCCUCCUUUACCUGGGGCUAAAGCUGACCCUGAGCAAUACUUUGUUCCAAUAAUAUGAACAGCUACAUAAACUCAUUUUGCAUGAAAAGGUAGGGGGUAAAUAUCGAAAGAAGGAGGCCAUCAGGAAGCCCCUGUGGCAUAUGCUGAGUUACAGUCCAGCAAUAAGAUUAACACAUGCACUUCAGCCUCUCUCCCCACCCCCAAGGGAAGAGAAGCCUGAGUGUCAACAUGAAAUAUUCAAGUCUCAUAUUUUCCAGGUGUACAAGCCAAAUCUCGCAAUGAUGUUGGCGACCUCUUAGAGUUGCAAAAUAAUGGAGAAAUUUUCAAGUGAAUGAUUCUCUGGAUCUCUUAAGAAUAUUCUUUCUUUCUACAUGUUCUUUCAAACUUGGUAUUUCCACAGUGGUGGAAGGUCAAAGUGGAAUUCAGACAAGUGUCACAUAUUUUGCUGAGGCAACAGGUACGUAAUGAAGGCUUUUUA